rnacentral:rRNA from 1 species
CCAAGGAGUCUAACAUGUGCGCGAGUCGUAGGUUGAUAAAGACCGAAGGCGAAAUGAAAGUGAAGGCACUGCUUGCGGUGCUGAGGGGAGAUCCCGUUUCACCUCGGUGGCUCGGGCGCAUCCCCGGGGCGUCGCGAUCCCGUUGCGGAUGCGACGCACCAAGAGCGUACACGUUGGGACCCGAAAGAUGGUGACCUAUGCCUGGCCAGGUCGAAGUCAGGGGAAACCCUGAUGGAGGACCGCAGCGAUUCUGACGUGCAAAUCGAUCGUCGGAGCUUGGUAUAGGGGCGAAAGACUAAUCGAACCGUCUAGUAGCUGGUUCCC